rnacentral:snRNA from 1 species
GGAUAUGAGGAUGAUGUGAUUGUCACCUGUGACCCCAUUGAUUGCCAGGAUGGAUUCUGUUGGCCUGGGGGGUCGGUGGGUGUUCCCUUCUUCCCUUCCAUUCCAUGUCCUUCAGAAGUGGAGCAGAAAUAGCCCAUAAAAACAAAAUAAAUGAAAAAAUAAGCACAUACAUUAGUACAGUUUUAUCCAGGUAUACUUGAGUAAUAUAUUUCCAAUAAAUAACCUUAGAAAUUAUUUAACUACUAAAAAUUAGGGUGGAAUUUUCUUUCACU